GCUCAAGUGGUGGAACGGCAUACACAACAGACUUAAAAUCUGUCGGCAAAAGCCUUGCGGGUUCAAAUCCCGCCUUGAGCA
rnacentral:tRNA from 1 species